CGAAGAACACCGCUCGGUUUCUCUCGGUAUUCGUGCAGAGAAACUGGUGAAAUGAUUUUACGGGUGAAAAUAAGCUCUAGAAAGGUCUAUUUAUAUUUACAAAUAAUUGGUACCCCUUUGGAUCGUUUAUGACAUGAAAAUACGUAUUUAAUAGCUUUAUAUUAAUAAAGCGGGGUCCAAUCGGUACUGGUUUUCAAGAUAAUCAUCAAAACGGGGCUUUUUAAUCAGUCAUUAGUAUGCGGGUCCCACUGCAAUUAUUACAAGAUAAGGAUGAAUCAAAAUAUCUAGUUUCACGUUUAUCGAGACAACAAGAUAAUUAUCAACAAUUAAAAUACCCGAAAAACUCCGCCGGACCGACUCCGGGGAAAACCGUACUCCGGAUCGAAAAAGUCAAAACACGAAAAAUGUCCGGAAUAUUCAAAUUAGGCUAAAGGUUAGUUUUGUUGAAACUUCCGGAAAGAAAAUUUGCUACCUCGUUACGAGUGGACGGUUUUACGGAAGUCAAAUAAUUAAUAAAUAAAUAUAAAUAUACACAAUUAAAUCCGUAAAUCGAUUAUAAAAUCAUAUAACAUUCCAUAAAUCGAUAUGAAAAUAUCCAAAUAAACUAUAUUUUCUCAUGAGCAUAUAGAAAUUGAAAUCUCGCGAAUACGAACACAUAUGAGCAUUCAGGUCAAUAAACUAGAUAACACAAAAUUCACAAAAAUUCAUAUAUUAAUCAUAUCAUAUUAAUAAUUAAUCAUAACUAAUUAACAAACAAAUUCACCAAUACCACUUAAUCACAUAACACAUAUAUUCACAUAAUAUUCAUACAGAAUUUUCAAAACAAUAUAUGAAAAUCAGUUUUGAAAAUACAAUUAUUUAUCAAUAACACAAUAACCCGGGGUUUAAAUAUAAAACUUUGAAAACUCAUUAAACUGGAAUAAAAUAUUAAAUCUUAUUCCUUUCUUUUUAAGAAAAUCAUUUAUAAUAUUAACAAAAAUAUUUUUAAAAUCCGGGUUAUUACACCAUAUCGUUGUGAUUUCGAGGAGUGGGCAAUGGAAUAGAAUGAGAAUGAGAAUGAGGAUGAGGAGGAGGAGGAGGAUUGUGAUGAAUCAAGUGACCACCAAAUGUACUAUUGAUUGGAAUUGGCAUCUCACCAUCUUGACCUGAGAGUUCCAUUUCUUGACUUGUGUUGUUUAUUUGGAGACCAAAGUUGAAGAAACAACAAGAGAGGAAGAGAAGAAUUAUCUUGGAUGUGUAAAUUAUUUAAGAUCAAAAGUGAUGGGUGAGCUACCUUAACAAACCAAUUUCUAGGAGCUUGUUUUUAACCACUUGUGCACUCUAAAAAAGUAAACAUGCAUGCUACACAAUUAGGAAACUAUUACUAAUCAUUGAUCCUACCUAUUAUACUACAAAACAUGACAUUCUUUAUAUUUUCCUCAACCUCAGCAAAAAUAAUUAAUUAGAAAAGUGCACACCUUGAAAUAAACUAGUGUGUGGGCAUGUGUCUUUUUUUUUUUUGGUUAAUCAGGCAGACAUGGCUAGCCAUGAGAACAAAGACUCUGACCAAAAGAAACAAGAAAAGAACUCAGGAGAAGCCUGAACAAUGACAGAAUGAGAUAAACUUGUAGACAUAAUUAAGCUACAACUAAGAAGAGAAAAGAGAAAACAGUAAAAAAUUGUUGGGUUUAGUUUAAGAUAGUAUUAUAAAAAGCAGGAAUAUAGGUCUGCAGAUUUCAGAGAAGGAGAAGAAGAAAGACAAUGGAGAGUUUUCUCACUCUCCUAUCGGCACAUAACACAUCCAACCAAUAGCAGACAACACACAACACAUAAGGUUUCCCAUCCCAAUUGAUCUUAAAUCAAGUCUUGGGUUAAAAAUGAUUUUUCGGGAAUUUUCUGGAAUUUUUAAACAUUUUUCGGAAUUAAAAUCGAUAAAAGAAUCACUUUUCGGAUAAAUAAUCAAGUCCCAAAUACUUGAAAUUGGACUUGAAAUCAUUCAUAAACAAUUAUCGAGCCUUGAAAAUAAUUUAGAAAAAUAUUUCAAAGCUCGAAACCAAUUUUCGGAAUUUUUAAAUCAAAAAGGAUAAUUAAAUCCAAUUAAUUAAUCAAUUAAAAUCAAUUAAUAAUUAAUUAAAAUAAUUAAUCAAUUAAUAUUUAAAUUAAUUGACCAAUUAAAAUAAUUAAUUACUAAUUAAAAUUAAUUAACAAACUAAUUUAGAUUUAUUUUUGAAUAAAGAAAUAAUUAAAAACUAUUUUUGGAAUUUAAAAUAAUUAAAUAAAACAAUUUUAGAAAAUUAAAUCAAAAGGUUUAUUUUGUAAACUUUUGAAAGUUUUGUCCAGGGUUUAAAGUGUAACCUUUUUAAAGGUUCAGGGUCUGUUUUGCAAAGUUUCAAACCUGGGUGUUAACACUUCACCACCUUUAAAAGUCUGGGGGCCAAACAGCAAUUUCGCUGCCGCCGCCCCCUGGACUCGCCGGAAAACACCGCCCAGGCCACCACCUUCUUCCAAACUCUCCAGAAUUCAAGUAUACACUACCAGGAACUCGAAUCCACCAUCAGAAUUAGCAAAGGGUGUGUGGUUCGUCCGGAAAAACACGGAGAAGUCUCGCCGCCGGCGAGUUUUCCCCGAGUUCCGGCAAUCGAUACCGUUAUCCUUUGACGAAUUUGAAGGCGUCAACAAGCUCCUUGCAACAUGAACUUUCUAAUGGUAUAACCAAGAACAGCCCAGAAUCAAUAACAAAGAAACGCCCAAAUUCGAUUAAAAACAUUCAUAUCCUUCAAGAACACCACUAAAUAAUCAAACCCCUCUUUCUAUAUGAUUCCGAACUCCAAAUUCAACAUAUAAUAUACCAAAACGACGAGAAAAGCACGUACUACAACAUGGAAUCAUCAAAACAAUCAAAUAACCACGUUUGCAAAAAUUCACUAUUUAAAUCAUAAUAAUUCGAAUUUUAAAACUUCAAUUACUCCCUACCUGUGAAUCUCAUGUUGUUUUUGAUGAUUGAUUUGGGUUCUACUCUUCGAUAUCUUCGAUUUGACUAUUUGCACGCUUGAAUCUGACUCCAAUAACACCUUCAAAUCUUCGUUUGAUUAUGAAGAACACGAAGAACACCGCUCGGUUUCUCUCGGUAUUCGUGCAGAGAAACUGGUGAAAUGAUUUUACGGGUGAAAAUAAGCUCUAGAAAGGUCUAUUUAUAUUUACAAAUAAUUGGUACCCCUUUGGAUCGUUUAUGACAUGAAAAUACGUAUUUAAUAGCUUUAUAUUAAUAAAGCGGGGUCCAAUCGGUACUGGUUUUCAAGAUAAUCAUCAAAACGGGGCUUUUUAAUCAGUCAUUAGUAUGCGGGUCCCACUGCAAUUAUUACAAGAUAAGGAUGAAUCAAAAUAUCUAGUUUCACGUUUAUCGAGACAACAAGAUAAUUAUCAACAAUUAAAAUACCCGAAAAACUCCGCCGGACCGACUCCGGGGAAAACCGUACUCCGGAUCGAAAAAGUCAAAACACGAAAAAUGUCCGGAAUAUUCAAAUUAGGCUAAAGGUUAGUUUUGUUGAAACUUCCGGAAAGAAAAUUUGCUACCUCGUUACGAGUGGACGGUUUUACGGAAGUCAAAUAAUUAAUAAAUAAAUAUAAAUAUACACAAUUAAAUCCGUAAAUCGAUUAUAAAAUCAUAUAACAUUCCAUAAAUCGAUAUGAAAAUAUCCAAAUAAACUAUAUUUUCUCAUGAGCAUAUAGAAAUUGAAAUCUCGCGAAUACGAACACAUAUGAGCAUUCAGGUCAAUAAACUAGAUAACACAAAAUUCACAAAAAUUCAUAUAUUAAUCAUAUCAUAUUAAUAAUUAAUCAUAACUAAUUAACAAACAAAUUCACCAAUACCACUUAAUCACAUAACACAUAUAUUCACAUAAUAUUCAUACAGAAUUUUCAAAACAAUAUAUGAAAAUCAGUUUUGAAAAUACAAUUAUUUAUCAAUAACACAAUAACCCGGGGUUUAAAUAUAAAACUUUGAAAACUCAUUAAACUGGAAUAAAAUAUUAAAUCUUAUUCCUUUCUUUUUAAGAAAAUCAUUUAUAAUAUUAACAAAAAUAUUUUUAAAAUCCGGGUUAUUACACCAUAUCGUUGUGAUUUCGAGGAGUGGGCAAUGGAAUAGAAUGAGAAUGAGAAUGAGGAUGAGGAGGAGGAGGAGGAUUGUGAUGAAUCAAGUGACCACCAAAUGUACUAUUGAUUGGAAUUGGCAUCUCACCAUCUUGACCUGAGAGUUCCAUUUCUUGACUUGUGUUGUUUAUUUGGAGACCAAAGUUGAAGAAACAACAAGAGAGGAAGAGAAGAAUUAUCUUGGAUGUGUAAAUUAUUUAAGAUCAAAAGUGAUGGGUGAGCUACCUUAACAAACCAAUUUCUAGGAGCUUGUUUUUAACCACUUGUGCACUCUAAAAAAGUAAACAUGCAUGCUACACAAUUAGGAAACUAUUACUAAUCAUUGAUCCUACCUAUUAUACUACAAAACAUGACAUUCUUUAUAUUUUCCUCAACCUCAGCAAAAAUAAUUAAUUAGAAAAGUGCACACCUUGAAAUAAACUAGUGUGUGGGCAUGUGUCUUUUUUUUUUUUGGUUAAUCAGGCAGACAUGGCUAGCCAUGAGAACAAAGACUCUGACCAAAAGAAACAAGAAAAGAACUCAGGAGAAGCCUGAACAAUGACAGAAUGAGAUAAACUUGUAGACAUAAUUAAGCUACAACUAAGAAGAGAAAAGAGAAAACAGUAAAAAAUUGUUGGGUUUAGUUUAAGAUAGUAUUAUAAAAAGCAGGAAUAUAGGUCUGCAGAUUUCAGAGAAGGAGAAGAAGAAAGACAAUGGAGAGUUUUGGAGGUGGGUUUUGC
rnacentral:lncRNA from 1 species